rnacentral:lncRNA from 10 species
GUAUGUUGCGUGGAGCUGGGGACACCGGGAUUCCAUGUUAGGGCUGCUACUACAAGUGAACCCUCUGCAGACCUCCUUUCCAAACUCCAUGUGUCCUUCUUAUUCCCGGGAACACCGGCCUUUCCACCUUCCACUUGUUGCUUAGGAGACCUAAGCAAUGAGAUAUUUUUUUUCUUUUGGAAAGUGGAGGGAAGCACUAGUUUAGAAGUCAGAAACCCACGGUUCUACACUCAACCUUGCCACUAACUUAAUGGCUAACCUUGGGAAUGUCUCUUUAUUUUUUGAGUUCAUUUAUAAAGGGGUUGAACUCAGUGGCUUUUUAAGGUCACCUGCCACGUUCAGACUGUCAUCUUUGAGACGCUCUUAGUUUCUUGGUACACUAACGUUUAGUGUAGUUACAAACCGGAAUGUAGCUCGGCCAAUCCAAACACCCCCUCAUGCCAAACAAAAAACAAUUUAAUCUGUCUGUGAAAAACAAGAGCGGUGGUUGCCAAAAAAAAUGAAGGUGGAGGCGGGAAGCAGCGAAUAAAGUGCUGGGGUGGUGAGGCGCGGGAGGCGAGCGCGGGUGUUCUGGGUUGGGCGUGGGUCCCAGGGGCGCGGCGGCCGCUCUCCAGGGUCCUGAAGGCGGGAGCGGUCGCGAGCGGCCUCGUGGGCCUGGCGCGGUUCCCUCACUCCGCAGUCACCAGGCCCGGCCUGUAUUCUUUCGGCGGUGGAAGUCUUGUGGGAAGCGAUUGUCAGGAGAGAGGGAAGGAAACCUAGCAACCCAUUCUCAUUCAUGAGGCCCUUUCUGGGAAGCCGCGAGUGCGGUGGCUGAUUUGUCUUGCUGUCGUUUGUUUGCUCCUGGAGGCGAGAAACUGUGGGAUAGAGGCUGCAGCAAUUGCAUGAGUAGACCCUGAAGGUAUGAGGUUUGUUAAAAUGGAUGUUCAGAGAAGGCCUGACACAAGAGGGCCACUCCAUUUGUCCCCACGGACCUGGGCCGGAUCUCUCAAUUUCACACUGAUGGAGCCUGAAAAUCAACAAACAAGACGGCAAGAACAGGGAAGACAUUGUUCUCUCCAAAGUGGACAAUUUGUGACAGGCCCAGGAAGGCUGCCUGGGCUUUAUAGCUUUUCCAGUGGUUCCUAAUAAACCAGGCUUUGUGUGAGCCUCGUUCAGGCCAUGCGGGGCCCUGUCGUUCUAAGGCUUUCUCCCUCCUCUGGCCUGGCUGCUGGGAGAACUUGUUAGCGGGCAUUGAUUUCUUUGAGUUGGACGCGACUGAAUUAGACUGCUUUGCUUGGCAUUUUAAAGGGGAUGUUUUCUUGGGGAAGUUGGAGGUUGGCACUGCCUUGAUAUGAAACAUUUUAGGGGCCAUUCAGAAUUCUUAACUGUCAUUAAUUUCUUUCAGGGCAUAUGAAACAUUUGUCUGAAGAAAGAUUUUAACAAUUUCAGUUUGAAGACAUCAAGAAAUACCAUAUGAUCUCUGACCUUAAUCAGAUGAAAUCUUGUUUCAUCCACAUGGUGGAAAAAAAUUAGGGAAAUAAUGCAUUUCUAUAUCUACUAAUCAACUGGCCAAUCAAUAUUAACUGGGCUCUUACUCUGUGCCCACUAUGUACGAGGUCCAUCUGCAGAUGGAGAUAACUAGAUUAACAACUAUUAUGGGAGAAACUGGCUACAAACCCAGCCCAUAGGAUUCCAAGGGGUUCCCGGGAGGCAGCACAGGGCUAAUGGAAAGCUGGACUCACCGAUGCAGGCUUUUAAAAGAAAAACUCAAAGUAUCUGAGUUUUUUUUUUUUUUUUUUUUUCAUGGAGUCUUGCUCUAUCGCCAGGCUGGAGUGCAAUGGCACAAUCUCAGCUCACUGCAACCUCCAACUCCUGGGUUCAAGCUAUUCUCCUGCCUCAGCCUCCCGAGUAGCUGGGAUUACAGGCACCCGCCAUCAUGCCCAGCUGAUUUUUUUUUUGUAUUUUUGUAGAGACGGGGUUUCACCAUGUUGGCCAGGCUGGUCUUGAACUCCUGAUCGACCUCAAGUGAUCCACCUGCCUUGGCCUCCCAAAGUGCUGGGAUUACAGGUGUGAGCCACCAUGAUCUGAGUUUUUUAAAAAAGCCCAUGUCUUUAUAGUUUACCAGCAUUUUUACAUGCCUUGUCUCAUUUGAUUUUUUCAAAGCAACCAUUCAAAUUGAAUGUGAAAAGUAUUAUUGUCUUGAUUUUAUAGAAGAUAAAAUGUCAUGCCUGUAAUCCCACCACUUUGGGAGGCCGAGGAAGGCAGAUCACGAGGUCAGGAGAUUGAGACCAUCCUGGCUAACAUGGUGAAACCCUGUCUCUACUAAAAAUACAUACAAAUUAGCUGGGUGUGGUGGCAUGAGCCUGUAGUCCCAGGUACUUGGGAGGCUGAGACAGGAGAAUUGCUUGAACCGGGGAAGCAGAGGUUGCAGUGAGCCGAGUUGGCGCCAUUGCACUCCAGCCUGGGUGGCAAAGUGAGACUCUGCCAAAAAAAAAAAAAAAAAAAGAUAAAACAAAGACUCAGAGAAUGAAAUACAACUUAGACCUGAAUUCAAAAACCAAUUCUUGGCAUUUCAAAGACAUUGCCCUUUAUGUCAUCAUCUUGCUUGGUGGCAGGGUGUACCUGUGUCAGCCAAAAGGGUGAUAUCACUGAGCUUUUCACUUGGUAAAAAAGGACAUCUUCAAGUACUCAGACUUCAGUUAGUUACAACUGAGCCUCAAGUCGCACUGGUUCGAAGUGCUGCAGUGCUUGGAUUUCCACCAGAUGUCACCAUUUGCCAUUGUUCUACUCCCUGCCUUUAAAAAGCAUUAGCAAAGAAGAGCCCAUCUGCUCUUGGGCCCCUGAGAAUGCUUAUUGCAUCUGGGAGUGAGGUGGAGGGCUGUAUUCCAAGAAGGGAGCAAUGAGCUCUGAAUCUUGACUCAGGGAGAAGGAAUUUGAAAAUGUCAUGGCCGGGCGCUGUGGCUCGCACCUGUAAUCCCAACACUUUGGGAGGCCGAGGCGGGCGGAUCACCUGAGGUCCGGAGUUUGAGACCAGCCUGACCAACAUGGAGAGACCCCGUCUCUACUAAAAAUACAAAAUUAGCCGGGCAUGGUGGCACAUGCCUGUAAUCCCAGCUACUCGGGAGGCUGAGGCAGGAGAAUCCCUUGAACUGGGAGGCAGAGGUUGCGGUGAGCCGAGAUCGUGCCAUUGUACUCCAGCCUGAGAAACAAGAGCGAAACUCCAUCUCAAAAACAAAAGAAAAGAAAAGAAAAGAAAAUGUCAUGAGCUCUCUGGUUCCCGAUUUCCUAAAACCCAAAGGCAUUAUUUCCCCCUCCCCUUGUGAUUUCGUGUAUCUAAAAACCCAGCCCAUUUCUGAUGGAUAAACCAAGCAGAACUAUAACCUGGCUUUUGGCCAAAACAACUUAGAAAAGGAGGAGAUUUUCUUUUCUUUUUAGAGAUAGGGUCUCACUCCAUCACUCAGGCUGGAGUGUAGUGGCAUGAUCAUAGCUCACUGCAGUCUCUAACUCCUGGGCUCAAGCAAUCCUCAUGCCUCAGCCUCCUGAGUAGCUAGGACUUAGGGGCAUGUGCCACUCACCCAGCUAAUUUUUAAAUUUUCUUGUGGAGACUGGAUCUCUCUUUGUUGUCCAGGCUGGCCCCAAACUACUGGCCUCCUAAAGUGCUGGCAUUACAGGGAUGAGCCACCAUGCCUAGCCCUCCAGCUAAUUUUUUAUAAAGCAGGAGGUUUUGAAGUGAAGACAGAACCAAGGAACGCUGCACCUUCUCUGUGAUCAGAAGUAGAAGCCAGCAGGAUUUGCAUCACGCUGGAGUGUGGUUUCUGAGGAGGGGCUGGAAGUAGCCCUGAACCCCAAGUCUCCCACCUGCUCAGAUUUUAUAUGGUCCAAAUUACACUACUCAGGUUCAUUCUUGUGGAUCUAAUAUGAGUGUUCCCUGUAGAUUUCAUGAGCAGGAGUGAUGUAUGAAUUCAUUUACAUCUAAGUGCAUUUGAAUUUGAACUUUUGUUUCUUUUUUUAAAGGGAGAAACUAGGCCAGAAUGAGAGAAUGAGGUUCCUAGGGUAUGUCUGUGGAUGUUGGCGAAGAGUCCAAGGUGAGGGGUGGGUGAGAGAGAGGGGAGGCAAACUUCUCUUAACUUCUAGUUUGGUCCAGGCUAACGACCAGGGGCCUGAGGGACCCUCCUUUGCCUCCUGUUCCUCACACCCUCCUCACCUUCACUCUGCUUAUCUUCAGGGUAGCAAAGAAUCCAUGUGGGGCAAUGGUUGGCCCCCCCAAAGCUUGGACUCCCCACGGGCCAACAAAUGAUGGGAGAUGUGUGGCUUCUCCAAAACUGCAGCUCUGGGAAAGGGGAAGCUUAGAGAUCUUAAUGAUGCUAAUAAGUUGGUAAAAAUAAUCAGGUGCAGGUAUUUUUAAGACAAGGCAAAAACAGAAAAAAGGAAGCAAUAGUACCUGGAUUUUAUUUGCUGAUCAUAAGCUUACUUUUUAAUCCAGCAAACUUGUUCUUCAACAAAACUGUCUGUAAAAUUAAUUGCAUGUCCUCCUGAUACGAUGUUGAUGGUAAUAAUACUUUCUCUUCAAAUGAAAACUUCAAAAAUAUAUCCUUCAGAACAUGAUCCUCUGGGCAAAUGGUCACAGAUGAAAGCCUUAAAUACAACUCACAGAAGCAGAGACAGCAGAUUUAUUACAGAAUUCGGAAAUGCAGUGUGACAUUGGUAGUAUCAACUGCUUUGAUCAUUUCUUUCAAGUAAUGUUUUAUUCAUUUCAUUUGGUCAUAUUUUGCUCAACUAUUUUUAUGUAACUUCACACAAUCUAUAUAUUUUGUUGAUAACUUACAGGUAAAAAUAUUCAUUUAUUAGUGUGGGUGUUUAUCCGAUGACCCACACUGGGUCACGCUGACUCAAGAGAGGACAGAGGGUCACACAAGAACUUCACAGCUUGUGUCCCCUAGGGGCUGAGGGUCUGCUGACUCUAGUUUUGUGGGGCUUAUCCACAGAUACUUUGCAGAAUGUCUGGUGGUGGGAAUAGGAGAUAAACAGAGAAGAUGUGUAGAAUUAUCUCUGAGGCGUGAUUACAAAGCUUGUGGGUGAUAGAUAUAAAAAUGCCAGGCCUCAAAUAUCUAAAUCAGGGCUGUCUACUUCAGGUGUCAUCGUUGAUUUUGGAAUCCCAUAAGUUGGUUUAAAGUUGCAAUCACUCAAAAUAUGUGCUGGACAACCCCUUAAGAUUGUCUUACAACCUAAAGAACAGCUAGGGCUGAUUGAUCUUUUUUUUUUUUUGGAGACAGGGUCUCACUCUGUUGCCCAGGCUAGAGUGCAGUGGUGUGAUCUUGGCUCACUGUAGCCUCUGCCUCCUGGGUUCAGGCAAUUCUCCUGCCUCAGCCUCCUGAGUAGCUGGGAUUACAGGCAUGUGCCACCACACCCAGCUAAUUUUUGUAUUUUUUAGUAGAGAUGGGGUUUCACCAUGUUGGCCAGGCUGGGCUCGAACUCCUGACGUCAAGUGAUCCACCUGUCUUGGCCUCCCAGAGUGCUGGGAUUAGAGGUGUGACCCACUGCGCUCAGCAGGGCUGAUGGAUCUUGAGACAGAGACCACAUCUAUACUGGGCCAGAUCCUCUCUCCUGGGAAUUUGGAAUGAGAACAUGGAGCCACAGCUAUUAGAGGCAGUUUGCUGGUGUUAAACUAUCUUCCACAGAUUCCUGGUCUGAGGUUCCUGGGCUGCUAGCCUCCUGCCUCCUUGCUAUUUCCUUUUGUCUUCUAGUCAUAUGCAAUUUGAACAGACAGUUACAAAAACGUGUUGAGACAAUGUCUUGCAUAUUUUAGUUCAUUUCCAGUCUUAUUUUGAAUAAAAGUUCUUAGAAUGAUCUAUCACUUGAAUAUAAAUCCUUACAAUUUUUAGUGUUGAGAAUUCGAAAUCAUAUAAGCCAAAUAUAGUCUUAUGGGAAAACAUAUUUGGUUACAUAGUUGAUGUCAAAUCAAAUUACUUUUGUAGUCUGUGAUUUGGGUUUCUUUCUUGAAUAUUUGAAUAUAUUCCAGUUGUCACUAUAUGGUUUAAACUAUUAUCCUUUCAACAUAUUUGCUUCAUCUUAAAAUUUCAUUUUUCAGUCAUUUGAAAUGCAGGAGCUGUAAAACCAUUCUAUAGAUGUUUCUAAAAUAAACUCUUAAGUGACACAAGCUUGAUUUGGAUCACCUUUUCUCAUAGAAUGGAAAUAAAUGGUUUCUAGAGAACCUAGAAAAACAAGUUUACUCCCCGAUAUGGUUUGGCUGUGUCCCCACCAAAAUCUCAUCUUGAAUUGUAGCUCCCAUAAUCCCCAUAUGUCAUGGGAGGGACCCGGUGGGAGGUAACUGAAUAGUGGGGGUGGGUUUUUCCCAUGCUGUUCUCAUGAUAGUGAAUAAGUCUCAUGAGAUCCGACGGCUUUAUAAAGGGCAGUCCCCCUGCACACGCUUUCUUGCCUGCCACCAUGUAAGACAUGCCUUUGCUCCUCCUUUGCCUUCCACCAU